rnacentral:hammerhead_ribozyme from 1 species
AUCCAGUUGACGAGUCCCAAAUAGGACGAUACGUGCACUCUGGAU